GCCGAAGUGGCGAAAUGGCAGACGCGCUAGCUUCAGGAGCUAGUGGGAGCAAUCCCGUGGAGGUUCGAGUCCUCUCUUCGGCA
rnacentral:tRNA from 1 species